CUUAAAAUGACUAUUUACUAACAAUAGUUUCUAGCAGCUAUUUCUGUCCCUAAAAGCUGUCACUCAGAGUCUUCAGCUCAUCUAUCCAACAGGCCUCGGAACUCUUUUAGUGCUGCGCAUAAGACGAGCAGUGGUUUGUCCACUCCCCUCCCCCCCGCGCUACAGACUUUGCCUGUAAAGACAGACGUUAUCCCUACUAUCCCUAAAAUGAAGUAACUUUGUUAUUGGUGGGGAGGGACUGCAACGGGGCAUAGGGUUUAUCAUAAUCCUCCUCAUAAAUCUCUUGAUGAAUGAAAGUUGGUGUGGCCUGAUCUGCUGUUUUCUGUAAACAUUUCUUAACACAGACAACACAACAGACAAUGAGAGCAAGAAUAAUCAAGAUUACCAGGACUGCCACACCUAUCUGAGCCAGAACUUGCUGCCAACCACUCAUCCAUCCAAACCAUCUUUCCCGUGGAUCUGUGACCCCAGAGUUCUUUUUUAAUUCAGAGACUCUCUAAUUUCUCUAGUGCCAG